CCAAUAGCGUAUAUUAAAGUUGUUGUGGUUAAAAAGCUCGUAGUUGAACCUUGGGCCUGGCUGGCCGGUCCGCCUCACCGCGUGUACUGGUCCGGCCGGGCCUUUCCCUCUGUGGAACCUCAUGCCCUUCACUGGGUGUGACGGGGAAGCAGGACUUUUACUGUGAAAAAAUUAGAGUGCUCCAAGCAGGCCUAUGCUCGAAUACAUUAGCAUGGAAUAAUAAAAUAGGACGUGCGGUUCUAUUUUGUUGGUUUCUAGGACCGCCGUAAUGAUUAAUAGGGACAGUCGGGGGCAUCAGUAUUCAAUUGUCAGAGGUGAAAUUCUUGGAUUUAUUGAAGACUAACUACUGCGAAAGCAUUUGCCAAGGAUGUUUUCAUUAAUCAGGAACGAAAGUUAGGGGAUCGAAGACGAUCAGAUACCGUCGUAGUCUUAACCAUAAACGAUGUCGACUGGCGAUCCGCUUUUGCUAACAUGAAGGCUUAGCGGGCAGCCUCCG
rnacentral:misc_RNA from 1 species